UACGUAGGGUGCAAGCGUUGUCCGGAAUUAUUGGGCGUAAAGAGCUCGUAGGCGGUCUGUCGCGUCGGCUGUGAAAACCUGGGGCUCAACUCCGGGCCUGCAGCCGAUACGGGCAGACUAGAAUUCGGUAGGGGAGACUGGAAUUCCUGGUGUAGCGGUGAAAUGCGCAGAUAUCGGGAGGAACACCAGUGGCGAAGGCGGUUGCCUGGAGCUUUGCUGACGCUGAUGCGCGAAAGCGUGGGGAGCGAUCCGG
rnacentral:rRNA from 1 species